CAGUCGAGCGAGACCUUCGGGUCUAGCGGCGGACGGGUGAGUAACGCGUGGGAACGUGCCCUUUGCUACGGAAUAGUCCCGGGAAACUGGGUUUAAUACCGUAUGUGCCCUUCGGGGGAAAGAUUUAUCGGCAAAGGAUCGGCCCGCGUUGGAUUAGGUAGUUGGUGGGGUAAUGGCCUACCAAGCCGACGAUCCAUAGCUGGUUUGAGAGGAUGAUCAGCCACACUGGGACUGAGACACGGCCCAGACUCCUACGGGAGGCAGCAGUGGGGAAUCUUAGACAAUGGGGGCAACCCUGAUCUAGCCAUGCCGCGUGAGUGAUGAAGGCCUUAGGGUUGUAAAGCUCUUUCAGCUGGGAAGAUAAUGACGGUACCAGCAGAAGAAGCCCCGGCUAACUCCGUGCCAGCAGCCGCGGUAAUACGGAGGGGGCUAGCGUUGUUCGGAAUUACUGGGCGUAAAGCGCACGUAGGCGGACUGGAAAGUUGGGGGUGAAAUCCCGGGGCUCAACCUCGGAACUGCCUUCAAAACUAUCAGUCUGGAGUUCGAGAGAGGUGAGUGGAAUACCGAGUGUAGAGGUGAAAUUCGUAGAUAUUCGGUGGAACA
rnacentral:rRNA from 1 species